rnacentral:rRNA from 1 species
UAAGGAAUAUUGGUCAAUGGACGCAAGUCUGAACCAGCCAUGCCGCGUGAAGGAUGAAGGUCCUCUGGAUUGUAAACUUCUUUUAUGUGGGAAGAAACCCUUGAAUUCUUUUAAGGUUGACGGUACCAUAGGAAUAAGCACCGGCUAACUCCGUGCCAGCAGCCGCGGUAAUACGGAGGGUGCAAGCGUUAUCCGGAUUCACUGGGUUUAAAGGGUGCGUAGGUGGGUUUGUAAGUCAGUGGUGAAAUCUCCAGGCUUAACCUGGAAACUGCCAUUGAUACUAUAGAUCUUGAAUUUUCUGGAGGUAAGCGGAAUAUGUCAUGUAGCGGUGAAAUGCUUAGAUAUGACAUAGAACACCAAUUGCGAAGGCAGCUUGCUACAGGAAUAUUGACACUGAGGCACGAAAGCGUGGGGUUCAAACAG